UACGUAGGGGGCAAGCGUUGUUCGGAAUUACUGGGCGUAAAGGGCGCGUAGGCGGCACAGCAAGUCGGGAGUGAAAGCCCGGGGCUCAACCCCGGAAUGGCUUUCGAAACUGCUGAGCUAGAGUACAGAAGGGGCAACCGGAAUUCCCAGUGUAGCGGUGAAAUGCGUAGAUAUUGGGAGGAACACCAGUGGCGAAGGCGACUACCUGGCCUGUUCUUGACGCUGAGGCACGAAAGCGUGGGGAGCAAACAGG
rnacentral:rRNA from 1 species